rnacentral:rRNA from 1 species
GAUGAACGCUGGCGGCGUGCCUAAUACAUGCAAGUCGAGCGAACAGACGAGGAGCUUGCUCCUCUGACGUUAGCGGCGGACGGGUGAGUAACACGUGGAUAACCUACCUAUAAGACUGGGAUAACUUCGGGAAACCGGAGCUAAUACCGGAUAAUAUAUUGAACCGCAUGGUUCAAUAGUGAAAGACGGUUUUGCUGUCACUUAUAGAUGGAUCCGCGCCGCAUUAGCUAGUUGGUAAGGUAACGGCUUACCAAGGCAACGAUGCGUAGCCGACCUGAGAGGGUGAUCGGCCACACUGGAACUGAGACACGGUCCAGACUCCUACGGGAGGCAGCAGUAGGGAAUCUUCCGCAAUGGGCGAAAGCCUGACGGAGCAACGCCGCGUGAGUGAUGAAGGUCCUCGGAUCGUAAAACUCUGUUAUUAGGGAGGAACAAAUGUGUAAGUAACUAUGCACGUCUUGACGGUACCUAAUCAGAAAGCCACGGCUAACUACGUG